AGCUGCCUCUUACAAUUGUUUCUUAUCCUUAUAUAGUAAGGAGAAAAACAAAUAAAACCCUAAGACACUCUUCUUGGACCUGACUUAAACACAUAAGGCCCAAGCCCAAUCACACACUAAAAUAACACAUAAUAUUAAAACAUAAGCCCAAAAUAUGGCCCAACACUCUAAAACUUAAAAGAUAAAAUAUGGCCAGAAUACAAG
rnacentral:lncRNA from 1 species